rnacentral:rRNA from 1 species
UACGGAGGAUCCAAGCGUUAUCCGGAUUUAUUGGGUUUAAAGGGUGCGUAGGUGGCUUAUUAAGUCAGGGGUGAAAGACGGUAGCUUAACUAUCGCAGUGCCUUUGAUACUGAUGAGCUUGAAUGUACUAGAGGUAGGCGGAAUGUGACAAGUAGCGGUGAAAUGCAUAGAUAUCGUCAGGAACGCCAAUGGUGAAGACAGGUGACUGGGCUAGAUCUGACACUGAGGCACGAAAGCGUGGGGAGCGAACGGG